AUUGAACGCUGGCGGCAUGCCUUACACAUGCAAGUCGAACGGCAGCACGGGGCAACCUGGUGGCGAGUGGCGAACGGGUGAGUAAUGUAUCGGAACGUACCAUUGAGUGGGGGAUAACGUAGCGAAAGUUACGCUAAUACCGCAUAUACACUGAGGGGGGAAGCAGGGGAUCGCAAGACCUUGUGCUCUUUGAGCGGCCGAUAUCAGAUUAGCUAGUUGGUGAGGUAAAGGCUCACCAAGGCCACGAUCUGUAGCGGGUCUGAGAGGAUGAUCCGCCACACUGGGACUGAGACACGGCCCAGACUCCUACGGGAGGCAGCAGUGGGGAAUUUUGGACAAUGGGCGCAAGCCUGAUCCAGCCAUGCCGCGUGAGUGAAGAAGGCCUUCGGGUUGUAAAGCUCUUUCGGCCGGGAAGAAAUCGUACAGGUUAAUACCCUGUGUGGAUGACGGUACCGGAAUAAGAAGCACCGGCUACUACGUGCCAGCCGCCGCCGUAAAAC
rnacentral:rRNA from 1 species